rnacentral:tRNA from 1 species
UGGGGGCUUAGCUCAGCUGGGAGAGUGCUUGCAUGGCAUGCAAGAGGUCAGGGGUUCGAUCCCCCUAGUCUCCAU